rnacentral:rRNA from 1 species
GGAUGAACGCUGGCUACAGGCUUAACACAUGCAAGUCGAGGGGAAACGACGGGGAAGCUUGCUUCCCCGGGCGUCGACCGGCGCACGGGUGAGUAACGCGUAUCCAACCUGCCUCUGACUGAGGGAUAACCCGUCGAAAGUCGGCCUAAUACCUCAUGGCAUCGUCUGCGGGCAUCCAACGACGAUUAAAGAUUUCAUCGGUCAGGGAUGGGGAUGCGUCUGAUUAGCUUGUUGGCGGGGUAACGGCCCACCAAGGCUACGAUCAGUAGGGGUUCUGAGAGGAAGGUCCCCCACAUUGGAACUGAGACACGGACCAAACUCCUACGGGAGGCAGCAGUGAGGAAUAUUGGUCAAUGGGCGGGAGCCUGAACCAGCCAAGUAGCGUGCAGGAUGACGGCCCUAUGGGUUGUAAACUGCUUUUAUGCGGGGAUAAAGUGAGGGACGUGUCCUUCAUUGCAGGUACCGCAUGAAUAAGGACCGGCUAAUUCCGUG